rnacentral:rRNA from 1 species
CUUCUUAGAGGGACUAUCGGGUGUUUAACCGAUGGAAGUUUGAGSCAAUAMCAGGUCUGUGAUGCCCUUUAGAUGUUCUGAGCCGCACGGCGCGCUACACUGAUGAAGUCAUCGAGUUCAUUUCCUUCAUCGGAAGAUGUGGGUAAUCUUUUGAAACUUCAUCGUGCUGGGGAUAGAGCAUUGCAAUUAUUGCUCUUGAACGAGGAAUCCCUAGUAAGCACAAGUCAUCAGCUUGUGCUGAUUACGUCCCUGCCCUUUGUACACACCGCCCGUCGCUACUACCGAUUGAAUGGCUUARUGAGGC